rfam:Schistosoma mansoni strain Puerto Rico chromosome 4, complete genome
AUCCAGCUAAUGAGUCCUGAAUAGGACGAAACGCGCGUUCUGAAU